rnacentral:piRNA from 1 species
UAUAUUGAAUGUGUAUGAAGC